rnacentral:rRNA from 1 species
UACGGGGGGGGCAAGCGUUGUUCGGAAUUACUGGGCGUAAAGGGCUCGUAGGCGGCCAACUAAGUCAUACGUGAAAUCCCUCGGCUUAACCGGGGAACUGCGUCUGAUACUGGAUGGCUUGAGUUCGGGAGAGGGAUGCGGAAUUCCAGGUGUAGCGGUGAAAUGCGUAGAUAUCGGGAGGAACACCUAUGGCGAAGGCAGCUCGCUGGGACGGUACUGACGCUGAGACGCGAAAGCGUGGGGAGCAAACAGG